rnacentral:rRNA from 1 species
GAUGAACGCUGGCGGCGUGCCUAAUACAUGCAAGUCGAGCGAACAGACGAGGAGCUUGCUCCUCUGACGUUAGCGGCGGACGGGUGAGUAACACGUGGAUAACCUACCUAUAAGACUGGGAUAACUUCGGGAAACCGGAGCUAAUACCGGAUAAUAUAUUGAACCGCAUGGUUCAAUAGUGAAAGACGGUUUUGCUGUCACUUAUAGAUGGAUCCGCGCCGCAUUAGCUAGUUGGUAAGGUAACGGCUUACCAAGGCAACGAUGCUUAUCCGACCUGAGAGGGGGAUCGGCAACACUGAAAGUGAGAAACGGUCCAGACUCCAACGGGAGGCAGAAGGAGGGAAUCUGCCGCAAUGGGCGAAAGACUGACGGAGAAACGCGGCGUGAGUGAAGAAGGUCUGCGGAUCGUAAAACUCUGUUAUUAGGGAAGAACAAAUGUGUAAGUAACGAUGCACGUCUUGACGGAACCGAAUCAGAAAGCCACGGCAAACUACGU